CAAACAAACUGGGAGGCCUUCUCGUCCCAGUUCUUCCUGGAGUCAAGAAAGGAUGAGUGAGACGGUAAGGGAAAAAAACAU
rnacentral:pre_miRNA from 13 species